UAAAUCCUUAAGUUGGAACUUAU
rnacentral:snRNA from 1 species